rnacentral:lncRNA from 1 species
GCUCCUCCAUCUGAUAUUGGAUGAUUAUAAUUUUUGAUUUGUGUUAAUUAUACGUACAAAGUAAUAAUUGAAUAAAAAUUACUCUAAAGACUUCAUAUCAAUGUUUUGAAUUCAUCACGCGAAAUAUUGAAAUCAUUUGACUUGCAACAUGAUGGUACACCAGAAGUGACAAUAACUAGGUUUUUCCAGCUCAAUAUUUUACUCAAUUCCUUGAUAAGCAGCAGCAUUAGCCCGUUGUUUCGCUUGACACUUCAGAGGUGGCAACUUCACUUUUUUGGG